UUUAAACUUUUGCAUAAGACUGUUGUUUCAUGCUCUUAUUUCAGUCCAUUAUCAGAAUUGUGAGCUGCUUAAACUGUGUCAGUGAGAAAUUUCCAUAUCAGUCGGGCCCUUGUGUACAUGUGUGUGUGUGUGUGUUUUUGUAUGUACGCUCCCUCGCUAACCUAAACAAUUAUCUCUCCUACCAAAGCAGAUGCUGAGCGCGGUACCUGAGGGCCACAGCGUGUCUGCAGCAUGUGAAAAACCCCACACUGCAGAAUAUGGCGGUGCACCACAAGCCCCCAGUGGAGGGGUGCUUUUCAGAGCAGAAUGUGUGUGUGUGUGUGUGUGUGUGUAAGAAGGAGGAGUCAUGAGGACAGAGCUCCACAGGGCCACAGCGGCAGUUUCUAAUGGAAUCACAGCUGCAGUGGCAGGAGCCCUCAGUGCCUCUGCCUGCGACUCAAUUAUACAUCCAACCAUGCAGCACUGAGGCUUCCUCCAGCCCGCCAUACAAAUAAUUCAUCCUCAACUUCUCUCUACUGGAAAUACCCUGCCUGACAAAAAGCACAGACAUUUUUUUAAUGCUUUUUGAAUUCUAAGACACCAGCAUGCCGUUCCUAAUAAAGUUCUAAAUGUGGAGCCAGGAAUAACUAUGCUAUUCUAGGGCUGGAGGAAGCCUCAGUGCUGCAUGGCGUUUUGUUUUCUCCAUAUCUAAUAUUGUGUAGUAAUUGUAAAACCUUAUCCUCUAUUCAUGUUGCUCUUGUUGUGUUGUUGUUUCGCCAUACUUUGACAACCAGAGGUGGAGGGACCCUUUUGAGGCUUGGCUCCUCUCAAGGAGUUUUUCCUUUCCUUGCAACUGUCACCUUGGCUUGGGGCUGGGACCCGGAUUUUCCACAAAGCUGCUUUGUGACAAGAUGUUAUUAAAUCAAAGAACGCCUGCAGGGUGCAGUGUACCUGGAUGUGGAACAACAACAAGCUAAACUAAGAAUCCAGUUAACCCACAGCACUGGUCAGAAAGGGUGAAAAGAGGAUUGCAGAGGGCCAAUUUGACAGGGACUGGAAAUAAAACACUGACUUUGUGAGAAGAAAACAAAAACAAGGCUGGCGCUGAUAGCAGCAAAUCCCCGCAGAGCUGGAAUUGAACAUGGCACCUCCCCGUGCUCGAGCCAGGCUGGUGCUUGGCAACGUCUCGUCUGUGCAACAAGCCUGAAGAAUCAGGUUAACAUUCAUCCGCAUAGGAACAAAUCCAGACCUUCAAAGUGGCUUUAAUAAACUGGAGGCUGUUUGUGCUGCUGUGAGAGGCAAAGACAAUGAUUGUGCUCACAUGGAACUGCUAUUCAGGAGACAGAUUGAUUCAAAAUUACUGCACCUUGAUUCAGCUCUAUGCACUAUAUUCUUACAUUUUGUUAUGUACUUGAUUGAUCCUACAAGGGAAAUUUGUCAUUUUGCUUCCUAACUAUGCCCAGUCUGGGAGCAGCCAGGUAUACCCAGUCAUAUCCUGGGAUUUUGAACCUAGGACCUUCUGGUUCCUGGCUCACCUAUACCUACCAUAAAUCUGGGCAAAUUAGGACAUAAAUACACCUCCACAAUAAUCAACAGGCAUAUAUUUGUGGAGAUUAUGGAGGAAAUUUGAGUGACUGAAGCUGCCAUAUUAGAUGAGGUAAAGCUAAAGCUAAUGCUGAAGCUAGUUGGUGCAUCAAUUUACUGAGGAAGACUUUUCAUCUUGUACAUGUGGUCUUUUAGCAUAUGUAAAUCAAACAAUAAAAAAAAUUUUCAUGUGCUAUUCCAUGAAUAUUUAUCUUCACAAACUUAAGCACUGUACAGUCCUGUUGUAAUUUAUUUAGCUAACCGUCAACAGCUAAGUUAAGAACAGCUAACUUAGCUAGCUAACAAUACUUAACAUUGUUCUGUUCCUCAGAACUAGCAUAAGUCGGUCUGCAAAUAGUUUUGUCACUGAGCUAAGUGUCUUAUAUACAAAAUUUUAUCAGCUUAAGGAAUAAAACAACACUUUAAUAGCUUCAGAAAUGAAAACAACAGCACUCUUCUAGAUGGAUAGCAUGUGUCUGAAAUAAACUAGCUUUACAAGUUCAGUCACUGGUGUAUUUACUGCUGCUGACAUUCUCACUGCAGGUUUGUUACGUUUUUCUAUUGCUGGACAGAGGACAUUCAGCUUAGGGACAGCUGUGAUUGGCUGAGAGAUGUAUCAGUCAGUAUUUUUUAGUCACACAGCUGAGUGUGCUGAGUGGAAAUAACCAAAGGAAAAUCUUCAGGGCUUUCUAGGCCUUCACAGAAAGCUUAACAAUUUCUGUCAACUCUUAAACAUUCUUAAAACGCCCAGUGGAAUACUGGCCAAUUAGGAAUUGCAUAACAAAUAACAAAGUGAUCAAUCACAUUAUGCUUUGGAAAAAACAUCUGUAAGUACUAAAUAUGUCAGUGACUGUGGAUCCAAGUCGCAGUCUAAUCAGUGGGUUGUUAGAAAUGGAAGCGGUGUCAGUUCUGUACCAGAGCUCUGAAAGAGUGACUCUGAAAUUGUAACCAGAUAAAAUACACAAUACUCUGUCUGUCACAAGCUUCAAGUAAAAAAUAGAAUGUCUUUUAGAAGCUUUAAUUGUCUGUAUUUAAUCAACAACUGAUAAAUAACAGCCGAAAAAUGUUCAUGCCUUAGUGCUAACAAACUACUAGAAUCCCAUAGGGAUGCUAACAGAAAGUAGCAUUUUUGUAGAGGUGGGUUUUUUCCUUAUGUUUUGACUGAGUUUUGACCUUUAUGGCUCGAAUUGAAGGCCUAUGGCAGUCUGUGGGCUGCUGAGUGCAAACGGUGUGCAACAAUUCACACUUCAUUAAUCAGUGGUUGUAGUUUAUCAUCCAUGUACUAACAGUACACUAUAUAAUAUUUUGCUCAUUUUCCUGUGUCGUGCACCAAAACUGGCUAGUACACUAUGGAAGUAGUGUAUUUGAGACACAGAGACUGGGCUUUGCUCAGAGUUGGAAUGGACGGUAUUCAUGUAAUGGUUUCAUCUGCUGAGUCACAAGCUGGACUGUAAUGUGUGUAAGGCCUUUGUGAUGCAGUAGAGGUGAAGGGUCUUUGGAAAUAAACUGACCUCAUCUACAUUAUGUCUCUCAUUCACCCUGUGAUUCACAUGCUGAUCAGCAUAAAGAGAAACAGGACGAUGAAAAGCAUAGUUUAUCUGCCACGUCAGGUGUGUGUGAUCAACAAAAAGAGACACAAAUGUUAUUUUGAUUUUCUUUGUGGGCUUUUGGAGCGAGCAGUCUUUCUGUUAAAAAUAAAAUGAAGCAAUAUUGUAUUCUUCUACUUGAAAGACCACCUAGAGGCCUUCAGUUUGGGCCGUAAAUGUGAAAUUUUGGUCAAAAAACAAGAAAAAAACAUCCCCAUGACGAUGCUAAUUUCUGCUA